AUGCGCACUGCUUUGUUGAUCAUUGAUGUAUGGACUUUGCUGCAGAUAUGCGCAAAGUUUCUAACAGGAAAAUGUUUCAACCAUGUUUCAUUUUUACAUGGCAAUGAUGCUCUUGAGGCAUAUCAUGUUUCAUAUGAUACGAUAAUCGGUAGCUAUUUUCAGUCCAACAUUUUCCAGCACUGUUCCAUUCCAGAGAAACAUGCACAUAUUAAUACAGAGGAGUGCAAGCCUUUUCCUGAAGAUGUCCAAAUACAAUCAAUUUACCCCGUGCAAGUGCACCCAAUUCGAUGUUCUUGUCUUAGAAGAUUUGUCCAAGAGCUAGCCUCAAAGGAAAUCCAUCCUUGGACCCACAUGAUGGAGGUUUCAUGGUUGCAUGGGUUUGGUCCAGCUGCUGACCACUUGUUAGAGGCUUACAACACACUUGUAAAGAGGAAAUACUUCCGCCGAAUUGACAUGAAGCUCCACACCCAGGCGGCUGCUCCGGCGACAGUGCUGCAGUCGUCGUCGUCGGUGUUGACGAGAAGCGUAGGCACAGAGAUGACGCCAAAUGACAGCCUGGAGCAGUGA
rnacentral:rRNA from 1 species